CAAUAGAUGUAAUAUUCAGGUACUCUAUAGCGUCGGCAGAAUUGGCGCUGAGUGUAAAAAGGGAACUUCGUGCAAAUCGAAGACGGGCCCGCCGCUGUAACCGGUGACGAUUUCUGAACAAAUGCCACUGUCCGAAUGGGAUGGGAAGGCUCAGGAAAAGGAUGACCCGGGAGUCAGAAGACCUGCCUGAACUAUUGGUCAAGA
rnacentral:ncRNA from 2 species